rnacentral:rRNA from 1 species
CAGCGCGGACUUCGGUCUGGCGGCGAGUGGCGAACGGGUGAGUAAUAUAUCGGAACGUGCCCUGGAGUGGGGGAUAACCAGUCGAAAGACUGGCUAAUACCGCAUACGAUCUACGGAUGAAAGUGGGGGAUCGCAAGACCUCAUGCUCGUGGAGCGGCCGAUAUCUGAUUAGCUAGUUGGUGGGGUAAGAGCCCACCAAGGCUUCGAUCAGUAGCUGGUCUGAGAGGACGACCAGCCACACUGGGACUGAGACACGGCCCAGACUCCUACGGGAGGCAGCAGUGGGGAAUUUUGGACAAUGGGGGCAACCCUGAUCCAGCAAUGCCGCGUGUGUGAAGAAGGCCUUCGGGUUGUAAAGCACUUUUGUCCGGAACGAAACGGUGGAGGCUAAUAUCCUCUGCUACUGACGGUACUGGAAGAAUAAGCACCGGCUAACUACGUGCCAGCAGCCGCGGUAAUACGUAGGGUGCAAGCGUUAAUCGGAAUUACUGGGCGUAAAGCGUGCGCAGGCGGUUGUGCAAGACAGAUGUGAAAUCCCCGGGCUCAACCUGGGAACUGCAUUUGUGACUGCACGGCUAGAGUGUGUCAGAGGGGGGUAGAAUUCCACGUGUAGCAGUGAAAUGCGUAGAGAUGUGGAGGAACACCGAUG